rnacentral:rRNA from 1 species
CGUAGGGGGCAAGCGUUAUCCGGAAUUAUUGGGCGUAAAGAGUGCGUAGGUGGUUUUGUAAGCGCGGGGUGAAAGGCAAUAGCUCAACUAUUGUAAGCCCUGCGAACUGCAAGACUUGAGUGCAGGAGAGGAAAGCGGAAUUCCUAGUGUAGCGGUGAAAUGCGUAGAUAUUAGGAGGAACACCAGUGGCGAAGGCGGCUUUCUGGACUGUAACUGACACUGAGGCACGAAAGCGUGGGGAGCAAACAGGAUUAGAUACCCUGGUAGUCCACGCCGUAAACGAUGAGCACUAGGUGUCGGGGCCGCAAGGCUUCGGUGCCGCAGUUAACGCAUUAAGUGCUCCGCCUGGGGAGUACGCACGCAAGUGUG